GGCUCCAUAUUGUAGUGGUUAGCACUUCUGCUUUGCACACAGAUGGUCCUGGGUUCACGCUCCCAGGUGGAGCCA
rnacentral:tRNA from 1 species